rnacentral:ribozyme from 1 species
GCCAUCCAGAUAUGCUGCCUCUACGUGGCGGAUGGCAGGCAACGGAGAUAUCCUCCGGCUAAAGCAUAU